ensembl:ncRNA lncRNA:CR45639 long non-coding RNA:CR45639
GCACUUGGAAUUCUCGUUCUUGGCCAGGUCCGGUGCCUGGUGAUGGCUGAUGUUGCUGCUGCCGCUGGUUGCAGUUGCAAGAGUCGCCAGCGACGUCCUCGCAGUUGUUGUUGCUGCCGCUUUCAUUCAGCUGCGACGCCGUCUUGCCUGUGGUACGGAGCCAGACCAGCCAAGCUAUCCAAGCCAGCCAAGCUAUCCAAGCCAAACCGAACCGUACCGAGCCAGGCCAGGCCAACCAACGCCAUCGCAUGUUUCACCUUCGCCCCACCGCACACAGAUACACACGCAUACACCGGCACUUUGUGUGGCGGCUGCCUUCCCAUUCAACUCACCAUUCCCCCUACCUUCUCCCCCUGCCCCAUCCCCUUGGGCCACUGCUGCUGGAGUUUCUUGUUUUCUUUCGACGUUUCGUCGUUGCUGCCCCCCAUCCACUUGGCCAAGCAACCAGCCCAGCCACCGUCAACCUUCUGCCCCAUCCCCAUCCCCAUCCCCAUCCAUAUCCCCAUCCGCAUACCCAUUCCCACAGCCCACUGCUCUGGCUCUUUGCCUUGUCGUAAUUUUACUUGGAUUUUUUUUGUUGUUCGUUCGUUCGUUUUCUUUUUCUUUUCCUUUCAGCGCGCUGCUUUCUGCUCUGCCUGCGACUCGGUUUCGAAAUAAACUUUAAUGCGAGCCAUUCGUU